GAUGAAGAACGCAGCGAAAUGCGAUACUUGGAGUGAAUUGCAGAAUCCCGUGAACCAUCGAGUCUUUGAACGCAAGUUGCGCCCGAAGCCAUUAGGCCGAGGGCACGCCUGCCUGGGCGUCACACGUCGUUGCCCCCCCAUCUACUCCGUCGGGAUUGCGGGGGGCGGAUGAUGGCCUCCCGUGCGCCUCGUCGCGCGGUUGGCAUAAAUGCCAAGUCCUCGGCGACGCACGCCACGACAAUCGGUGGUUGCGAAACCUCGGUUGCCCGUCGUGUGCGGUCGUCGCGCAUCGAGGGCUCGAAAAAAUUGCCGGGCUCCGGCUCGGCUUUCAACGCGACCCCAGGUCAGGCGGGGUUACCCGCUGAAUUUAAGCAUAUCAAUAAGCGGAGGA
rnacentral:misc_RNA from 1 species